rnacentral:rRNA from 1 species
GACGAACCGUGCGAACGUUGUUCGGAAUCACUGGGCUUAAAGGGCGCGUAGGCGGGCCCUCAAGUCCGGGGUGAAAUCCUCCCGCUUAACGGGAGAAGAGCCUCGGAGACUGAGGGCCUCGAGGGGGGUAGGGGCGUGCGGAACUAUGGGUGGAGCGGUGAAAUGCAUUGAUAUCCAUAGGAACUCCGGUGGCGAAGGCGGCACGCUGGACCUCUUCUGACGCUGAGGCGCGAAAGCCAGGGGAGCAAACGGG